rnacentral:rRNA from 1 species
UACGGGGGGGGCAAGCGUUGUUCGGAAUUACUGGGCGUAAAGGGCUCGUAGGCGGCCAACUAAGUCAGACGUGAAAUCCCCAGGCUUAACUUGGGAACUGCGUCUGAUACUGGAUGGCUUGAGUUCGGGAGAGGGAUGCGGAAUUCCAGGUGUAGCGGUGAAAUGCGUAGAUAUCUGGAGGAACACCGGUGGCGAAGGCGGCAUCCUGGACCGACACUGACACUGAGGAGCGAAAGCCAGGGGAGCAAACGGG